rnacentral:rRNA from 1 species
GACGAAGGGGGCUAGCGUUGUUCGGAAUUACUGGGCGUAAAGCGUGUGUAGGUGGUUGCCAUAGUCAGGUGUGAAAGCCUUGAGCUCAACUCAAGAAAUGCACUUGAUACUGGGCAGCUAGAGGACCGGAGAGGAUAGUGGAAUUCCCAGUGUAGUGGUGGAAUGCGCAGAUAUCAGGAGGAACACCAAUAGCGAAGGCAGCUCGCUGGGACGGUACUGACGCUAAGGCGCGAAAGCGUGGGGAGCGAACAGG